rnacentral:rRNA from 1 species
UGAGGAAUAUUGGUCAAUGGCCGGAAGGCUGAACCAGCCAAGUCGCGUGAGGGAAGACGGCCCUACGGGUUGUAAACCUCUUUUGUCAGGGAGCAAACCUCUCCACGCGUGGGGAGUCGAGAGUACCUGAAAGAAAAAGCAUCGGCUAACUCCGUGCC